AUUGAACGCUGGCGGCAUGCCUUACACAUGCAAGUCGAACGGUAACAGGGAGCUUGCUCCGCUGACGAGUGGCGAACGGGUGAGUAAUGUAUCGGAACGUACCAUUCAGUGGGGGAUAACGUAGCGAAAGUUACGCUAAUACCGCAUAUUCUGUGAGCAGGAAAGCAGGGGAUCGCAAGACCUUGCGCUGAUUGAGCGGCCGAUAUCAGAUUAGCUAGUUGGUGAGGUAAAGGCUCACCAAGGCGACGAUCUGUAGCGGGUCUGAGAGGAUGAUCCGCCACACUGGAACUGAGACACGGUCCAGACUCCUACGGGAGGCAGCAGUGGGGAAUUUUGGACAAUGGGGGCAACCCUGAUCCAGCCAUGCCGCGUGAGUGAAGAAGGUCUUCGGGUUGUAAGCUCUUUCGGCCGGGAAAAAUCGCAUCAGUUAAUACCUGGUGUGGAUGAUGGUACCGGAAUAAGAAGCACCGGCUAACUACGU
rnacentral:rRNA from 1 species